AUGAACGCUGGCGGCGUGCCUCAUACAUGCAAGUCGAGCGAACAGACGAGGAGCUUGCUCCUUUGACGUUAGCGGCGGACGGGUGAGUAACACGUAGGUAACCUACCUAUAAGACUGGGAUAACUUCGGGAAACCGGAGCUAAUACCGGAUAAUAUUUCGAACCGCAUGGUUCGAUAGUGAAAGAUGGCUUUGCUAUCACUUAUAGAUGGACCUGCGCCGUAUUAGCUAGUUGGUAAGGUAACGGCUUACCAAGGCAACGAUACGUAGCCGACCUGAGAGGCGGAUCGGCCACACUGGAACUGAGACACGGUCCAGACUCCUACGGGAGGCAGCAGUAGGGAAUCUUCCGCAAUGGGCGAAAGCCUGACGGAGCAACGCCGCGUGAGUGAUGAAGGUCUUCGGAUCGUAAAACUCUGUUAUUAGGGAAGAACAAACGUGUAAGUAACUGUGCACGUCUUGACGGUACCUAAUCAGAAAGCCACGGCUAACUACGUG
rnacentral:rRNA from 1 species